rnacentral:tRNA from 1 species
GCAGGUGUAGUUUAAUCGGCAUAGAACACGAGACUUUCAAUCUCGGAGAUACGGGUUCAAGUCCCGUCACCUGUACCA